AGCCCCGUAGUGUAGCGGUCAAUCAUGCGAGACUCUGGAUCUUGCGACGGCAGUUCGAAUCUGCCCGGGGCUACCA
rnacentral:tRNA from 5 species